UAUACCUUCUGUCUAGCAGAUUUUCUCUGAAUAUGAUACUGAAAAGGAUAACGAACUCAAUCAACAUGUUCUAACGUCCAUUUUCUCAUGGCUUGAGCAUUUCAACAGAAAGAAGUGUCUCAACAAUCAAACAUGAAAAUGAAGCCACAUUUACAUCACAAUGGCGAAUAAUAAAACAAAGCAAUAAAGAGAUGCUAAAGAAAUGCUACAGAAAAAAUCCAACAGCGCAGAUCUGUAGAGGAGACUGGCCUUGCAAAAGAAAUUCAAGG